GAACAAAUACGCGAAAUACUUUUGAACAGCGAUGUAAAUCGGCGAGCUACAUACACACGUACGUACGUAUGUCUUAAUGAGCUGACGCGUAGAAGUUGCGAGCACAUGUGGAUGUUUAACGCGCUGGUUUAACAUUAGUCCAUCCAGUGGCAAGGACAAGCCAAUUUAUUGCUUCAAUGGUAUGAUCGCCGCGCUAAAUUGGAUAAAUCGGUGACGGUUCUAAUUAACGUACGGACCUAAUGUAUGCAAACUGUUUAUAUCGGCAGGAGGAUAAGGCAACUGUAAAACGGACCGCGCGUUCCCAUCCCCGUUGAUUAAAAUGUUCUGGUUCAUUUGACGCGCGGGUCGCUACACUCUUUACUCGUUGGCAUUGAUACGCCGCUCGGUAUUACGCAAUAAUCUCCUUAGCACCGUGCUGUUAACUAUGUUACAACUUUCCGUGGGUGUUUCGCGAACUUGCACGCGCUGGGAAUUGAAUAUCAUACCAUAACCGCGUCUCUUGCGUAUGCUGAUUUCUCAUGGUUCUACAAUGCAGAGAGAUUAUUCUAAUUUGAAUUCACAUUAUCGAAUUCCACUAAAUUCAUCGUGAUCGUGAAAAAUAAUCGCAACAAUUUGCUGAAUAUCUUGUUCGUGAAAUGAAUCUUUAUAAAGAUAUUCGCAUAAGAAUCCAUUGAUCUAAUUGCAAUAUACAAAUAUGAUACUAGAGAAUUGUGAUUUAAAUAGUAAGAAAAAAGUGAAACGUCCAAAAGAAAUAGCGAUAUCACAGUGAAGAGCCGUUAAAAUAACUCGUGGAAAUUAAAAACCGUCAAAUGGACGAAUCCACGAGUGAUAAUGAGAAACAGCCUCGAUCACAAGAAGUGGACGCAGAUCAGAAGCAACGAACCCCUAUAAAGGCGACAAAUUAUAUGACAUCGAACGACACUGACUUAUCGAAAAUUCCAAAACGAAAAUUGUCUGUAUUUUAUCGAUCGUUCGAUGUGAUCGCGCAGGUCGAUCAAGAGAAGGAGAAACAGACGUUGGAUUUUCGAAGAACGUCCAGCAGCCCGUCCGUACAAAUCGAAAGAACUCGAGAGGACGCCGAUUCGAAGAAUAGUCAGAUCGAUCAACAAACGAGUUUGCAGGAAAGACACUUCGUCGAUGAUUAUCGUUCGUUGAACGAGAACGGGAAGUUUUUGAGCUGCUCCUCGCCGGGUCGGCUCAGCGAAAAGCCCUCGUCGAAUAACGGGCAAGUUUCGAAAGCUGGAUCAUUAUCUCCGAUAGGGUUCAAGCUGCCUCAAGUUCUAGAGGACACGAUCGUCGAUAAUUACGCCACGAUUACCGAGACGUCAAUCGGGAAACACUAUAAGUUGAAUAACAAUGGGAAUUACGAGUGCAAAGUCGCCGACGAAAGUGCCGUGAUCAAUUCGCGCCAAACCAAUUCGUCACCCGACCUAACCAAUACUAUUCGAUCAUUCGCCAAAGAAAAAGUUGGAAACACUGAAACGAACAGCUCUGCCAAUGGAACGGCCGAGCCGCAACAUGGAAAUUCACCGCAAACGCGUUCAGCAUGUUCGCGAGCCAUCACGUGCACCGAUCUGGUUAAGAUCAAAGAUUCGGAGUAUCCCCGCUCGUUUGUGAACGCGUCGGGUGCCCGUCGUCUUGGGAAAUAUACAUCAGUCGAUGCCGAAAUGUCGAGUCACGAGGAUAGCUCGAUGGGUUCCGAUAGCGAGGACGAUUCGAUCGAACGGACCGUGCACGCCACGAUAUGUACGCGAAACGAGACGAAGAAUGAGAGGUCACGAUCGAAAAGUAGCAGCCCGUUGUCACAAACCUUGUCGUCUAUCUCGAUGGGUGAACCCUCCAGGAAACUCAACUUAAGGGAAAUCCAUGAUCAAAAAGUGGCGGAGGAUAUUGAGGAAUUUUGUCCGGAACGAGUGGAGCGACAAAAACUUUUUGCCGCAAGGAGAUCUCUGUCGGAAGGCGACUGCGAACGAUACCAUCGUACGAAACGUCGUUGCAGAUGCGUCAAAGAAGAGGAAUCGCUCGAUGAAGAACAAGAGAAAUUUCCACCUUUUCCUAGCUUCAACGACACUAGGUUACAAAUCAUGGGAUUAUCGUGCUCCAAUGAUAUAGACAGUGUAUACAGGGAAAAUAUACCAGAGAACGAGCUCGAGCGCAAAUAUAUUGCAUUUUCGAUAGGACUUGGUACGGAUAGGAUCACUCUGCAUCGGAGGAUGGCAUUGUCGCUUCGUCAACGAGAUCAAUCGGAACGAAACUUUAUGAAUGAAAUUCAAAAGAUGCAAGAAGAUAUAAACGGUCUGUGUCCACUUUGCACGGAUCAAGAGUCGAUAGAGAAAAUAGAAAACGUCCGUCAUCAGUUAGACAUGAUAGCACGCUCGGCCCAUAGAGUUUCUUGCGCCGCUGAAACACUCGGAGCAGUGUACCAGGAGCAUAGAAUCUCUCGUGCAAUCUUCAUAGGUGACAAGUAUUUGCAGUUAUUACGAUCCAGAUGCGAAAAUCUGGCAGCAGAUAUCGCAGAAGUCAAACAAAUAUUGUUGAAGAACAAUAUCAUGAUAGAAGAAACUACUGGAGAGGUGGGAGAUGAUUUACCUAAACUUAGAUACAGAAAUGGAUUACCUUGCAAUAAUCGAACAAUGAUGACUAGGAGAAGAGCGAGCAUCGCUACAAUUUCGCGACCCUUGAGUGCACAGGACAUAAAGGCAAUACUUUUUGUCAUACUAUUAUAUCUUCUGUGUAAAAAUUACAAGAAAAAGCUACAGUUAAAUAAAGAAAUUUUUUCUUUUUUUAAAUUCAGGAAAUUCCUAGGCAACGUAACUCUGUUUCCGGAAGAGUUAACUUAAGACGGCCAUCGUUAUGCUUCGAAACGCAGAGGUGGGAAAACGAAAAAUUAAACCGAACGGACAGCGCAAAUAGUGUCGUGGAAUUACGUGACAUUUUUGAGCACACUGAGCCGCGAAGAAAUUCCAUUGAAGAAAAUAACAACCUCUUAAGAAACGACCAAAGUAAUAACAUUAGUAGUAUGAAUUGUAACAUAGCCAGUAAUACAAGGGAUAGAGAUCGAUCAAUUAUCAAACAAAAUUCUUUCUUGGAAUCAAGUGUAACUAAAACUGUUGAAAAGCAGAUAAAA